AACGCGAAGAACCUUACCAGGUCUUGACAUCCUCUGACAACCCUAGAGAUAGGGCUUCUCCUUCGGGAGCAGAGUGACAGGUGGUGCAUGGUUGUCGUCAGCUCGUGUCGUGAGAUGUUGGGUUAAGUCCCGCAACGAGCGCAACCCUUGAUCUUAGUUGCCAUCAUUUAGUUGGGCACUCUAAGGUGACUGCCGGUGACAAACCGGAGGAAGGUGGGGAUGACGUCAAGUCAUCAUGGCCCUUACGACCAGGGCUACACACGUGCUACAAUGGCGCAUACAAAGAGAAGCGACCUCGCGAGAGCAAGCGGACCUCAUAAAGUGCGUCGUAGUCCGGAUUGGAGUCUGCAACUCGACUCCAUGAAGUCGGAAUCGCUAGUAAUCGUGGAUCAGAAUGCCACGGUGAAUACGUUCCCGGGCCUUGUACACACCG
rnacentral:rRNA from 1 species